rnacentral:rRNA from 1 species
CUCUGAGAGGACGACCAGCCACACUGGAACUGAGACACGGUCCAGACUCCUACGGGAGGCAGCAGUGGGGAAUUUUGGACAAUGGGCGCAAGCCUGAUCCAGCAAUGCCGCGUGAGUGAAGAAGGCCUUCGGGUUGUAAAGCUCUUUUGUCAGGGAAGAAACGGUUCUGGAUAAUACCUGGGGCUAAUGACGGUACCUGAAGAAUAAGCACCGGCUAACUGCGUGCCAGCAGCCGCGGUAAUACGUAGGGUGCAAGCGUUAAUCGGAAUUACUGGGCGUAAAGCGUGCGCAGGCGGUUGUGCAAGACAGAUGUGAAAUCCCCGGGCUCAACCUGGGAAUUGCAUUUGUGACUGCACGGCUAGAGUGUGUCAGAGGGGGGUAGAAUUCCACGUGUAGCAGUGAAAUGCGUAGAGAUGUGGAGGAAUACCGAUGGCGAAGGCAGCCCCCUGGGAUAACACUGACGCUCAUGCACGAAAGCGUGGGGAGCAAACAGGAUUAGAUACCCUGGUAGUCCACGCCCUAAACGAUGUCUACUAGUUGUCGGGUCUUAAUUGACUUGGUAACGCAGCUAACGCGUGAAGUAGACCGCCUGGGGAGUACGGUCGCAAGAUUAAAACUCAAAGGAAUUGACGGGGACCCGCACAAGCGGUGGAUGAUGUGGAUUAAUUCGAUGCAACGCGAAAAACCUUACCUACCCUUGACAUGUCUGGAAUCCCUGAGAGAUUAGGGAGUGCUCGAAAGAGAAUCAGAACACAGGUGCUGCAUGGCUGUCGUCAGCUCGUGUCGUGAGAUGUUGGGUUAAGUCCCGCAACGAGCGCAACCCUUGUCAUUAGUUGCUACGAAAGGGCACUCUAAUGAGACUGCCGGUGACAAACCGGAGGAAGGUGGGGAUGACGUCAAGUCCUCAUGGCCCUUAUGGGUAGGGCUUCACACGUCAUACAAUGGUACAUACAGAGGGCCGCCAACCCGCGAGGGGGAGCUAAUCCCAGAAAGUGUAUCGUAGUCCGGAUUGGAGUCUGCAACUCGACUCCAUGAAGUUGGAAUCGCUAGUAAUCGCGGAUCAGCAUGUCGCGGUGAAUACGUUCCCGGGUCUUGUACACACCGCCCGUCACACCAUGGGAGCGGGUUUCACCAGAAGUGGGUAGCCUAACCGCAAGGAGGGCGCUCACCACGGUGGGAUUCGUGACUGGGGUGAAGUCGGAACAAGGUAGCCGUAUCGGAAGGUGCGGCUG